GGACUCUUGGCUCAGCUGGCAGAGUAUCGAUUGACUGUAAUCAAUUGGUUCAGGGUUCGAAUCCCUGAGAGUCCA
rnacentral:tRNA from 1 species